CGUGGGUAACCCACCUCGAUGAUUGGGACAACCCGGGGAAACUCGGGCUAAUACCAAAUGUGCUGACGGUUCAUGAGGACCAUCAGUAAAGAUAGCUUCGGCCUUCGCAUCGAGACGGGCCCGCGGCCCAUUAGCUUGUUGGUGAGGUAACGGCUCACCAAGGCGACGAUGGGUAGCUGGUCUGAGAGGACGAUCAGCCACACUGGGACUGAGACACGGCCCAG
rnacentral:rRNA from 1 species